rnacentral:tRNA from 1 species
GGGUUGGUAUCCAAGCUGGCUGAAGGAACUCGACUGUAAAUUGAGAGCUUAUAUGCACACGGGGGUUCAAAUCCCUCCCAACCCA